rnacentral:rRNA from 1 species
UCAUAUGCUUGUCUCAAAGCUUAAGCCAUGCCAAGUCUCCAGUACAGACUGUUUUAAAGUGAAACCGCAAAGGCUCAGUAAACCAGUUUUAAUUUACUAGAGUAAACUUGACUGUUCUUGGAUAACUGUGGUAAUUCUAGAGCUAAUACAUGCAACAAAGCCCCGACCUUAAUUGGAAGAGGCGCUUUUUAUAGAUCAAAACCAUUCGCCCGGUUCUCCGGGCGUCUAUUUGAUGGAACCUAGAUAACACAUCAGAUCGCAUGGUCUUUAGUACCGGCGACUUAUCUUUCAAAUGCCUGACUUAUCAACUGUCGAUGGUAGACUCUGUGUCUACCAUGGCUCUUACGGGUAACGGGGAAUCAGGGUUCGUUCCGGAGAGGGAGCCUGAGAAACGGCUACCACAUCCAAGGAAGGCAGCAGGCACGCAAAUUACCCACUCCCGGCACGGGGAGGUAGUGACAAAAAAUAACGAUACGGGACUCUAAAAGAGGCCUCGUAAUCGGAAUGAGUACACUUUAAACCCUUUAACGAGGAUCCAUUGGAGGGUAAGUCUGGUGCCAGCAGCCGCGGUAAUUCCAGCUCCAAUAGCGUAUAUUAAAGUUGUUGCGGUUAAAAAGCUCGUAGUCGGUUCUGCGUCCCACGCUGUCGGUACACCGUUGGUGAUACUGGCAUGUCGUGGAAUGUCCUGUCGGUGGCGGCAGAUGCAUUUUGUGCUCAAGUUCGCUUGCGGCGCUUAAUGUAUUCGGUCGCCGACUAUAUCCUACCGCGGUGCCCUUUAACGGACGUCGAGGUAGGCCGACACGUUUACUUUGAACAAAUUAGAGUGCUUAAAGCAGGCCAAAAUUUUUGCCUGAAUAGUGGUGCAUGGAAUAAUGGAACAGGACCUUGGUUCUAUUUUGUUGGUUUUCGGAGCACAAGGUAAUGAUCAAUAUGGACAGGCGGGGGCAUUCGUAUUGCGACGUUAGAGGUGAAAUUCUUGGAUCGUCGCAAGACGCACUAGAGCGAAAGCAUUUGCCAAGUAUGUCUUAAUUGAUCAAGAACGAAAGUUAGAGGUUCGAAGGCGAUCAGAUACCGCCCUAGUUCUAACCAUAAACGAUGCCAGCCAGCGAUCCGCUGUAGUUUCAUUGUUUGACUCGGCGGGGAGCUUUCCCCGGGAAACCAAAGCUUUUGGGUUCCGGGGGAAGAUGGUUGCAAAGCUGAAACUUAAAGGAAUUGACCGGAGGGCACCACCCAGGAGUGGAAGCCUGCGGCUUUAAUUUGACUCAACACGGGAAACCUCACCAGGUCAGGACAUUGGAAUGAUUGACAGAUUGAUAGCUCUUUCUUGAUUCAGUGGGUAGUGGUGCAUGGCCGUUCUUAGUUGGUGGAUCGAUUUGUCUGGUUAAUUCCGAUAACGAACGAGACUCUAGCCUAUUAACUAGACGUUACGGUAUCGUAGCUACCGGCGAAAAUAAUCUUUUUAAGGGGACAGGCGGAUUUUAGCCGCACGAGAUUGAGCAAUAACAGGUCUGUGAUGCCCUUAGAUGUCCUGGGCCGCACGCGCGCUACACUGAAGGAAUCAGCGUGUGCUUCCCCUAGACCGAAAGGUCCGGGUAACCCGCUGAACCUCCUUCGUGCUAGGAAUUGGGGCUUGCAAUUAUUCCCCAUGAACGAGGAAUUCCCAGUAAGCGCGAGUCAUAAGCUCGCGUUGAUUACGUCCCUGCCCUUUGUACACACCGCCCGUCGCUACUACCGAUUGAAUGAUUUAGUGAGGUCUUCGGACCGGCGGUAAGCCUAAUCGGUGUUAAAGCCGGUUAUGAUGAACGCUAGAAAGAUGACCAAACUUGAUCAUUUAGAGGAAGUAAAAGUCGUAACAAGGUCUCC